rfam:Kandleria vitulina DSM 20405 Scaffold19, whole genome shotgun sequence.
CAAAUUUAUAGGCAAAAUGAAUGAAAAUUCAUGACGCAAAGCUAUAGGGCCUUUAAACUGGCUGCCAGCUGCAAAA